AUACGAGUUAGUAUGUUCGUUGGAAUUGUUGACGUUUCGGAUGAAAUAUGGAAAGUGACGAACUUCUUGAAUUUGUGUAUAUUGUUUGGAACAUGAUUGGGAUGUGUUUGAAUAAUCUUGAAUGAGUGAAUGAAUACAAUAAUGUGGACAUUAGUUUGGUAUUGUGAAGUUUGAAUGAAAAUUGUCAACUUAUAUAGAAAGGAAGAAUAUUGAAGUUAGAGUGCUUUAGUUGUGGUUUAUGUUGUUUGUGAUGUUUGGGUUGUUGUUGUUGAUGUUUAUUGAGCCGAGCUAAGUCUCGGGGGUGUUAGAUAUAUAGGGGAAAUGCUGCCGAAAUUUCGGUAGACAAAAAUGAAGUUAAGAGUAUUCUUAAGCCUUAGAACCUCUAAUUGGUAACUUUGACCAUUUGCAGAUUCUGGACGAAACGGGAUUUGAGUUUGGGGUGAGCAUAAGACGUCUAUAAGGUACAGACGCCGGUGAUCCACCGUUGUAGGCCUUACGUUCAGCCAUUUUGGAGUACUCCCUUUGAUCCGGAGUCCACUUUUGGUACAUACAUCUUUUGCUAUGUAUAUAUUUUGUACAUUUGACUAUUUGGGUACGGCGGGGCCCUGUCUCGCCAUAUGUCUUUGUUUUGGAUUCGUAGAGGCCUGUAGUCAUGUAUGUGGGGCGAGGGUCCUAUAUGUGUUCGUUUGGUUUUGACAUUUGGUCUUAAUGCGGUCUGUUUGUUAUGAUGGCCCUAAACGGCCCUUAUGCUUAUGUUUGUACUUAUGACCGGCGAUGGAUAUUCCGCCGCUCUUUUCUGAUUUGAUAUGAUAUUUUGAUGCACGCGACCGCUUAA